rnacentral:rRNA from 1 species
CUGUGUCGGAUAAAGUUCUAGAUAGAAUAAUGAUGAUGACAAUUUUCUAUCUAUAUGUCUUGACCAAAUCUUGUGCCAGCAGUCGCGGCAGCACAAGGGAGACUAGUGUUAUUCAUCUUUAUUAGGUUUAAAGGGUACCUAGACGGUAUAUCAUGCCCCAAAAGGGAACGGAUAUACUAGAGUUUUAUGUGAGAGGCAAAUAUAGUACUAUUGGUGUAGAGAUAAAAUUCACUGAUCCCUCUAGGCACGGGUAACGGCGAAGGCAAUCCUCUAUGUAAAAACUGACGUUGAGGGACGAAGGCUCGGGUAGCGAAUAGGAUUAGAUACCCUAGUAGUCCGGGCAGACAAUUAUGAAUGUCAUAGAUUAGAAUAUAAAGAAGCAAGUAGGUUUGCUACAAAGACUGUAUUCUUGAGAGUCUUGUUAUUAAAUUAUACAGUCCCCCUACUUAGCUAGUUUAGAUAAUUAACUUUUAAACUUCCUUAAACGAGAAUCUCCGCUUGACCCCUCCUCCUCAUUCUGAGGAGGGGGCUUCUUCUCCUCUCCUAAUUAUGGGUGGAGAGGCCUCACUCCUUCUCUGACAAGGAGGAGGCCCUGUGCGGAGGAGAGGGAGGAGAAGGGAAGUUUAAGGAAGGUUUAUUACCUCUUCUAAUAAACCUUAUGGUUAGUUAUCUACUAGUUUUUUUUCCCUUAAACAAGUAGCUAUGUUAAAAAGGGAGAACCGGGUAAAGGUUUGCUUCUUUACCUUCCUUUUUUUUGGUCUAUAAAUGAAAGUGUAAGCAUUCCACCUCAAGAGUAAGGCGGCAACGUUGGAACUGAAAUCAUUAGACCGUUUCUGAAACCAGUAGUGAAGUAUGUUAUUUAAUUCGAUGAUCCUCGAAAAACCUUACCACAAUUUGAAUGUUAAUUAAUAAAAUUAACACAGGCGUUGCAUGGCUGUCUUCAGUUAAUGUCGUGAGACUUGGUUAGAUCCAGGAAAUUAUCGUAAACCCUUGUUCUUUAUUGUUUGAA